GUGCUCACUUCAGCAGCACAUACACUAAAAUUGAAAUGAUACCGAGAAGAUUAGCAUGGCCCCUGUGCAAGGAUGACAUGCAAAUUCGUGAAGUGUUCCAUAUUAAA
rnacentral:snRNA from 1 species